rnacentral:lncRNA from 1 species
GGGUGUACUUUGAGGUGUGUUUAUGUAGGUGCAAGGUUUCCAAGAGUUGGCGCUUAAAAAGAUUCCUAAAGUAAGUUGAAUAACUUAAGUUAUUAGAAAAUCUAAUGCAAGUAGGACUUAUGUUAUGUGAUUGAAUAUGAUCAAUCCUUAUGCCUAUUUAAAAUGAUCUCCCCUAAAAUUCCUAGGCAAUCUAAACUAACACCCCAUGCC